UACGUAGGGUGCGAGCGUUAAUCGGAAUUACUGGGCGUAAAGUGUGCGCAGGCGGUUGAGCAAGUCGAGUGUGAAAGCCCCGGGCUUAACUUGGGAAUUGCGCUCGAAACUACUUGACUGGAGUGUGGCAGGGGAAGGUGGAAUUCCACGUGUAGCGGUGAAAUGCGUAGAGAUGUGGAGGAACACCAAUGGCGAAGGCAGCCUUCUGGGCCAACACUGACGCUCAUGCACGAAAGCGUGGGGAGCAAACAGG
rnacentral:rRNA from 1 species